UCCUUCCUUCUCUCUCCUUUUAGUGACCCAGCUCCUCUGUCUCAGCAUUGUCCUCCCCAUCCCCACUUCUGAAGACCAGUCCCCUGGGCUGCAAAGUAUAGGUGGGGCCACAGAGGCCCAGAGGGUCCUACGACUUGUCACAGGUCACACCACCAUUCCCACGAAGAACACGAUGAUACCCUGAAAUGGCCUGCCCAUCCCUAUGGCUUCUCAUGCACCCAGUCAAUAAUUAAUUGGCCAACCAACAUUCUUGGAGAUGCCACUGAAGACCCAGUGCUGUGUUGGGCCUGUGAGGACACCCAGAGGUUCACAACCCGGUCCUUGUCCUCAAGGCGUUUAGCAUCGAGAUGGUGUUUGAGUCACCUUCGAGCUCAGCAUGGGCACAGGAAAAAACAGUAAAGGAAGUACCUUCCUCAGGGUCAGCUUGAGCGAAAUACCACCCCGAUGACAUUUGUCUAUGUCUGGAAAUGUUUACACAGGGAUUGCGCUGUAUGGAGCAUUAUAAUGCGUCAAUUUGCCUUUGCAGGUUGUCCUUGCACUUUCCA